AGAGGAGAGAGAGAGGAGGCACACGGAGAGAGGGCACCAUGACGAAAAGCGAAAGCACGACAGCAGAUCCAGAGAGCAUCGAGACGUGAAGGAAGAGGUCAGAGGUCAUGGAGGUGACAGAGAGCGAACAGAACGGGAUAACAACAAAGAGAGGAAGCACAGAGAGGACGAAGAACCGGAGAGACAUCAUCGCAGAGACCCGACCAGCUCCAGGAAAUCUGACAAAGCCUCGGACAAAAGUCAUGACGCUAGAACUGAGGGUAAGGCAGCGGAGCGGGGCCUGAGAGCCACAGCAGAGCCUGUAAGAAGUUCCACCUUUCUCAAAGAAUAUGUGCACUAACGCUUGAACCUGAACUCACACAUGCACGUGUGCAAUAUGUGGUGUAAUGUGUUUGGGGCCAUAACAUUAAAUUACAACAGGAUUGUACG